rnacentral:rRNA from 1 species
AACGCGAAGAACCUUACCUGGAUUUGACAUGCAUUGUGUCUCCGAUGAAAGUCGGAUAGUGUUGAAACAUACACGCCUUGCACAGGUGCUGCAUGGCUGUCGUCAGCUCGUGUCGUGAGAUGUUGGGUUAAGUCCCGCAACGAGCGCAACCCUCAUCCUCAGUUGCCAUCGGGUCAAGCCGGGCACUCUGGGGAAACUGCCGGUGACAAGCCGGAGGAAGGCGGGGAUGACGUCAAGUCCUCAUGGCCCUUAUGGGCUGGGCUACACACGUGCUACAAUGGCGGUGACAGAGGGCGGCAAGGGGGCGACCUCGAGCCAAUCUCGAAAAGCCGUCUCAGUUCGGAUUGUUCUCUGCAACUCGAGAGCAUGAAGUCGGAAUCGCUAGUAAUCGCGGAUCAGCACGCCGCGGUGAAUACGUUCCCGGGCCUUGUACACACCGCGCAUA